rnacentral:rRNA from 1 species
AACGAACGCUGGCGGCAUGCCUAACACAUGCAAGUCGAACGAGACCUUCGGUUCUAGUGGCGCACGGGUGCGUAACGCGUGGGAACCUGCCCUUAGGUUCGGAAUAACUCCCCGAAAGGGGUGCUAAUACCGGAUAAUGUCUUCGGACCAAAGAUUUAUCGCCUUUGGAUGGGCCCGCGUUGGAUUAGCUAGUUGGUAGGGUAAAAGCCUACCAAGGCGACGAUCCAUAGCUGGUCUGAGAGGAUGAUCAGCCACACUGGGACUGAGACACGGCCCAGACUCCUACGGGAGGAAGCAGUGGGGAAUAUUGGACAAUGGGCGAAAGCCUGAUCCAGCAAUGCCGCGUGAGUGAUGAAGGCCUUAGGGUUGUAAAGCUCUUUUACCCGGGAUGAUAAUGACAGUACCGGGAGAAUAAGCUCCGGCUAACUCCGUG